UGGCGGGCGGCGGCCACCUGCCUGGCUGGUCCCAGGUCACGGCUUUCUCUCCACAGGGGCGGCUGACGGGGCUGGGUGGAGAGGACCUGCCCACCAUCGUCAUCGUGGCUCACUACGACGCCUUCGGGGUGGCCCCUUGGCUGUCCCUGGGCGCGGACUCCAACGGGAGUGGUGUCUCGGUGCUGCUGGAGCUGGCCCGGCUCUUCUCCAGGCUCUACACCUACAAGCGCACCCACGCGGCGUACAACCUCCUGUUCUUUGCUUCUGGAGGGGGCAAGUUUAAUUACCAGGGGACCAAGCGCUGGCUGGAGGACAACCUGGACCACACAGGUGGGUGACCGGGGCAGAGCAGCACCCAGGGGUGACAGGGCCUCCUCCUGGCUGCUGCCACCUCAAAACCCUCAAUGCCCACAGACUCCAGCCUGCUCCAGGACAAUGUGGCCUUCGUCCUGUGCCUGGACACCGUGGGCCGGGGCAGCAGCCUGCACCUGCACGUGUCCAGGCCGCCCCGGGAGGGGACCCUGCAGCACGCCUUCCUGCGGGAGCUGGAAACGGUGGCCGCCCACCAGUUCCCCGAGGUGCGGUUCUCCAUGGUACACAAGAAGAUCAACCUGGCCGACGACGUGCUGGCCUGGGAGCACGAGCGCUUUGCCAUCCGCCGGCUGCCCGCCUUCACCCUGUCCCACCUGGAGAGCCACCGUGACGGCCAGCGCAGCAGCAUCAUGGACGUGCGGUGAGGCCUUCCAGAGUUUCCUUAGCCCAAUGGGGCGGGUGGCCGCAGGACAGGGGCCUGGAGCCUGGGAGGAGGGCACCACCAGGCAGGCUCCCCAGUCCUGCCGUGGCCAGGGGAAGCCUCGGCAUGUCAGGCACCGGGGGCUAAGGAGGGUGGCGAGAGUGGGCCGCGGUCCAGGCCGCUGCCCCUGGCCCACCCUGCCAGUCACCAUCUGCCACCCACAGUCCAGACCAGGGCUCCCCCAGGACACUGUGGGCACUGGGUGCUCUGGGCCG
rnacentral:lncRNA from 1 species